rnacentral:rRNA from 1 species
AGAGUUUGAUCCUGGCUCAGAACGAACGCUGGCGGCGUGCUUAACACAUGCAAGUCGAACGUGAUUCAGAGCUUGCUCUGAUGAAAGUGGCGCACGGGUGAGUAACGCGUGGAUAACCUGCCCUGGUAUCUGGGAUAACAUCUCGAAAGGGGUGCUAAUACCGGAUAAGCCCACGGGAUCUUCGGAUUCUGCGGGAAAAGGAGGCCUCUAUUUAUAAGCUUCCGUAUCAUGAUGGGUCCGCGUACCAUUAGCUAGUUGGUGGGGUAAUGGCCUACCAAGGCGACGAUGGUUAGCUGGUCUGAGAGGAUGAUCAGCCACACUGGAACUGAGACACGGUCCAGACUCCUACGGGAGGCAGCAGUGGGGAAUUUUGCGCAAUGGGGGAAACCCUGACGCAGCAACGCCGCGUGAGCGAUGAAGGCUUUCGGGUCGUAAAGCUCUGUCAGUGGGGAAGAAAUGGGACUGGCUAAUAUCCAGUCUUCUUGACGGUACCCACAAAGGAAGCACCGGCUAACUCCGUGCCAGCAGCCGCGGUAAUACGGGGGGUGCAAGCGUUGUUCGGAUUUAUUGGGCGUAAAGCGCGUGUAGGCGGUUUCUUAAGUCUGAUGUGAAAGCCCUGGGCUCAACCCAGGAAGUGCAUUGGAAACUGGGAGACUUGAAUACGGGAGAGGGUAGUGGAAUUCCUAGUGUAGGAGUGAAAUCCGUAGAUAUUAGGAGGACACCGGGUGGCCGAAAGCGGCUACCUGGACCGAUAUUGAACCCUGAAACGCCAAAACCUUGGGGGACAAAAAAGGAUUAGAUACCCUGGUAGUCCACCCC